rnacentral:misc_RNA from 1 species
UUUCCGUAGGUGAACCUGCGGAAGGAUCAUUAAAAAUGAAGACCCAUUAAAAUGGUGGUCUUAUUAAUAAUCCUACCCUUUGUGAAUUUGUUUGUUUUUUAAUUUGUGUCUUUCCCUGUUUUUUUGAUGGAGCUUGUAAAAAGGCAAAAUCAAAAUGCAGGGGAAUGGCAAAACCUUUUUUUAAAAUUAAACAUUUUGUAAUUCAUUUGUCUAAAAAUUAUUUUUAUAAUAUAAAAACAACUUUUGACAAUGGAUCUCUUGGUUCUCGCAACGAUGAAGAACGCAGCAAAAUGCGAUAAGUAGUGUGAAUUGCAGAAUACGUGAAUCAUCGAAUCUUCGAACGCAUAUUGCACUUUUUUGGUUUACUAAAAAAGUGUGUCUGUUUGAGUAUCAGUAAAAUAUUCUCAUAAAAACUUUUGUUUUUAUGGUUAUGAGUGUUUUACAACGAUACAAGUUGUUUCACUUUAAAUUCUUUGUCUAUUAAAAAAAUCAUUUAAAAACUGAUUUUUUUUAAAAUUGGAUAAAAUUUUCCCGUAAAAAGGAAUAACCUAAACAAUUUUAAAAUAUGAAUUAGUUUGAUUUUUUAAAAAAGACCAGAAGGAAAAAAGUAAAAAUUAACUUGAUCUCAAAUCAGAUAAGAGUACCGCUGAACUUAAGCAUAUCAAUAAGCGGAGGAAAAGAAACUAACUAGGAUUCCCUCAGUAACGGCGAGUGAAGCGGGAAGAGCUCAAAUUUGAAAUCUUCAAGGUUCUACCUUGACGAAUUGUAGUUUAAAGAAGUGUUUUCUGUUGGAGUUUUGGUAAAAGUUCUUUGGAAUAGGACAUCAUAGAGGGUGAGAAUCCCGUAUUUGACCAUUAUUUCCAACUUUGUGAUACACUUUCAAAGAGUCGGAUUGUUUGGGAAUGCAGUCCAAAAUGGGUGGUAAAUUUCAUCUAAAGCUAAAUACUGGCGAGAGACCGAUAGCGAACAAGUACCGUGAGGGAAAGAUGAAAAGAACUUUGAAAAGAGAGUUAAACAGUACGUGAAAUUGUCAAAAGGGAAGCGUUUGACACCAGUGUUGUUUUCUCGAAAAUCAAUUAAAAAAGAUUGGAUUUUGUGUUGUAUUGACUUCAUCAGCUUUCUGCACUUUUUUCUUGUCUUUUUUAAUGCACUUUUCGUUUAACAAGUCAACAUCAAUUUCUUUUGUUGUAAAAGAGUCAUUGGAAGGUGGCUUUCUUUUCGGAGAAAGUGUUUAUAGCCUUUGGCUUCUGCAAUCGGAGAGAUUGAGGUCUGCAGCGUAGAUCCUUCGGGGUUAGAUACAUUUGUGCUAAGUUAUAGCCUUUCAUAGACAACUUGUUGACUAUGAUCAGUCAUGUAGCUUACUCGCUUAUGCUAUUUUACCUACGCUUAGGAUGUUGAA